GAUUUCUUGCCAGUGGAAGUUACCUCCAGGUCAUAGGUGACACAUUAGGUAAGACUAUUUACUUUUAAAUGCCUUAAAACUGUUUACAUAUAUCUUCGCAUGUUUUAUUUCAAUUUGAGAUCAUUCAACAGAAUCUUAGUAACAAUUCAUAGUGUACAUGCAUUUAUUUUUGUAUUGUUUCUCUCAUACUCUACAUCCUAUAUAUUUGUUACAAAGUAGUUGACCGGUACUUAUUUUACUAAAGUUGUGCAUCUCUACUUUGUAUCAUUGGACAACAAUACAGUGUCAAGAGUGGUAGAUUCUGUUUUAGACGCUCUUUUUUUUCAUUCAGUGGCCUAUAGCUACUUACCUAAACAAAAUAAAAGCUGAAUUUAAAGAGAUUGCCGGAUUUCCAAACAGACCUUUUGGUGACCUUCUGCUGUUGUCUGUUAUAUGUUUAAAUGGCAAGUGGGAAAAUGGUAUCUUACUUUGUGAUAGUGGCUAUUCCUGCAGGUCUUUUUUAAUGAAACCUUUUCUGAAUCCUAUUGAACAACCUCAUAGAAGGAACAACAGAUGUCAUGCGGUCACAAGAUCUGUUAUAGAAAGGAAAUUUGACAGAUGUAACAUAAAGUUCUACAUAUUGCAUUCUGCAGUGAGAGAUUAUUUAGAUGUUUUUUCCAUACUCUUUUUCAUUAAUUGGAGUAUUUCUGCCCUUUUAAAUUGGAAAUAAUUAUAUUUUUUUUCCGAAAAUACCAUACCUCUCUCACCCUCAGUACUAAAUGGUUGUUCCCUACUUUGGUAUCUAAAAAGUUUUUAAAACCUGAUUUGUGUAUUAGUAUAUAGUAUGGUCCGUUACCAACUAAAACUAUUCCGGUCAUCUCUUGAUUUUUAUAUUUAAACUUAAUAUUACAAACUUAUACUUUUUUGAGGCUGUUUAAGCAACAGCUAGCACCAAUCAGUGUUCAAGAAGAGAUAAAAAAAAAAAACCAUCGACUAUACAUGCAUCUUAUUCUUUCUUCAAUGACACACUCUUGUGUAGCCCUGCAUGGUAAUUUAGUUUUAUCUUUUGUAGAUUCGGAUGAAACCCAAAAAGGUAAACAAAAUAGUAAUGCUUUGUGGCAUUCUUUACAACAUCUGCAUACAACUAAAUAAACCGGAUGAAGAAGCAGAAGAGCCAGUGAACAAGGAUGUAGAAAAUGGAAUCAGCCACAAUGGACAACAGGACUGAAGAGUGAUUAGGGAGCACAUUGCUGGAAC
rnacentral:lncRNA from 1 species